CAAUAGCGUAUAUUAAAGUUGUUGCGGUUAAAAGCUCGUAGUUGGAUUUCUGCUGAGGACGACCGGUCCGCCCUCUGGGUGAGUAUCUGGCUUGGCCUUGGCAUCUUCUUGGAGAACGUAGCUGCACUUGACUGUGUGGAUGCGGUAUCCAGGACUUUUACUUUUGAGGAAAUUAGAGUGUUUCAAGCAGGCGUACGCCUUGAAUACAUUAGCAUGGAAUAAUGAGAUAGGACCUUGGUUCUAUUUUGUUGGUUUCGUAGAGCUGAGGUAAUGAUUAAAUAGGGGAUAGUUGGGGGCAUUCGUAUUUAAUUGUCAGAGGUGAAAUUCUUGGAUUUAUUAAAGACGGACUACUGCGAAAGCAUUUGCCAAGGAUGUUUU
rnacentral:rRNA from 1 species